UCCCCCACUCUGCCACGUGCCUGCUGGGUGAGCUUGGAGUGCCCCAGGGCAGCAGCGCUGUGCUGGAAGAGCUGACAUGACCCCUGUCAGACAGGCUUCCUGACUGAGAGCCCCGCGAGGGACCGUGUUCAAGCUGUGUGGCCUGACGGGCAGAGCACGGGACUAGGAGCCAGAAGGACCGGCGGGAGAGUACAGUAGAAAGAAGUCCGGAGGAGUUAAAGUGACUUGCCUGAGGAUACACAGAAGUGCAGGGGCAGAGCUGGAGCCGGCCCCCAGGCCUCCUGACUCCCCCAGCCACGACCUUCACCCUCGUCCAUCUCUUCGGGAGCGACACUGCCCGGGCCUGACGGGCAGAGAUGUGCCAUCUGAGUGGAGCGGAGGACUGGACCGUGGAGCCGUUCGGCAAAUCAGAUGAGGUAACUGAGGCCUGAAGAUGUGCGGUGACUUGCCUAAGCA